rnacentral:rRNA from 1 species
CAACAUACAUAUACAUUUCGGUAGCUUACUCAUCAGAACUUCAUAGUUAAGCGUGUUUGACCUGGAGUAGUAUUGGGAUGGGUGACCUUUUGGAAGUUUCCUAGAAAUUGC